GAACGCGAAGAACCUUACCAGGUCUUGACAUCCCUCUGACCACUCUAGAGAUAGAGUUUUCCUUCGGGACAGAGGUGACAGGUGGUGCAUGGUUGUCGUCAGCUCGUGUCGUGAGAUGUUGGGUUAAGUCCCGCAACGAGCGCAACCCCUAUUGUUAGUUGCCAUCAUUCAGUUGGGCACUCUAGCGAGACUGCCGGUAAUAAACCGGAGGAAGGUGGGGAUGACGUCAAAUCAUCAUGCCCCUUAUGACCUGGGCUACACACGUGCUACAAUGGCUGGUACAACGAGUCGCAAGCCGGUGACGGCAAGCUAAUCUCUUAAAGCCAGUCUCAGUUCGGAUUGUAGGCUGCAACUCGCCUACAUGAAGUCGGAAUCGCUAGUAAUCGCGGAUCAGCACGCCGCGGUGAAUACGUUCCCGGGUCUUGUACACACC
rnacentral:rRNA from 1 species